GACGAACGCUGGCGGCGUGCCUAACACAUGCAAGUCGAACGGUUCAAGCAGUAAUGUUUGGAUAGUGGCGGACGGGUGAGUAACGCGUGGGCAACCUACCUUUCACAGGGGGAUAACACAGGGAAACUUGUGCUAAUACCGCAUAACGUAAUGAUAUGGCAUCAUAUUAUUACCAAAGGAGAAAUCCAGUGAAAGAUGGGCCCGCGUCCGAUUAGCUAGUUGGUGAGGUAGAGGCUCACCAAGGCGACGAUCGGUAGCCGAACUGAGAGGUUGAUCGGCCACAUUGGGACUGAGACACGGCCCAGACUCCUACGGGAGGCAG
rnacentral:rRNA from 1 species